AAAUAUGCCUUCUGGACCUGUCACUAUGGCAGUCUCCCUUCCUAGCCAUGGAAGAGCAUUUUCUUAUUUAUUGGCAAAGCUGUCACCAUUUAAUUGGUAUCAGAUUCUGACUUGCACAAGUAACAUUC
ensembl:snoRNA small nucleolar RNA SNORA24